UGGGAAAUUUCAUCGUGAUGGGGAUAGAUCAUUGCAAUUGUUGGUCUUCAACGAGGAAUGCCUAGUAAGCGCGAGUCAUCAGCUCGCGUUGACUACGUCCCUGCCCUUUGUACACACCGCCCGUCGCUCCUACCGAUUGAAUGGUCCGGUGAAGUGUUCGGAUCGCGGCGACGGGGGCGGUUCGCCGCCCCCGACGUCGCGAGAAGUCCAUUGAACCUUAUCAUUUAGAGGAAGGAGAAGUCGUAACAAGGUUUCCGUAGGUGAACCUGCGGAAGGAUCAUUG
rnacentral:rRNA from 2 species